UAUACGUUUUCAUUCUAGUAUAAAAACCAUAAUUCCUUUAAAUAAAGUUCAUUAAUUUUUAAUUUAUAAUCGGUGAUAUUUGCUUUCUGCAAAGUAACGUUAAAGUGGUAUAAAAUCAUCAUAGAUUUUAAUUUGAAGACUAUUAUCAGUUAAAAGUAAGUUUCUCAAUAAUUCAUAUUAAAAUACAGCAUGGAAUAUUUUAUUAUGUUCUGUAUAUUAUAUAUCAUAGAUGAGUAUGAUAAAUAAAGAUUGGUUGAAUGGUAAUCAAAAUAAACGUUGAAUGUGUGUAUCCGAUCUUAAAAUAAAAGUAGAGUAUAAGGUUCUGGGAAUAUAUGUGGUCAAAUCAAAAUACUCGAAUGAGACUCUAGUUGUUGGAUACACAUCGGUCGAAUAUGCUGUCGAGAAAUUGUGUUCUUAUUAUUCAUGUUAUCAUUGUGCAACAUUGAGUUAUUGUCGGUCUUCUCUCUAUGUCUGCAUUGUCGCUGCCAUCUUAACACAUCUUUCGCUCUAAGCUCUAUGGCGCUUGCGAGCCAGUAGUUUUGUAUUUAAGAUUUAAAGAUGGUGUAUAUGAAAAUUUAUAUUUCUUGUAUAAUACAUUUAAUUGUUAUAAUUAUAUUUUGUAAAAUUCAUUUUACAUACAAACAUACAGUAAACUCACCUUAUUCCUUAUCCUUGACAUAGCUAAAGACUUAGGACAAAAUAAAACCACGAAUGUUAACUAACGCGCUUGAAUACCAUCGGGCGCUGCUUUCAUACACCAGUGGCUGAAGUAAAACUUGAUGAUGAACUAUUAUUUCAAGUUUAUUUACCCGCAAGAUUUUCAUACACUCGUGAAUAUUUAAACAAAAGAAUCGAUGUAAAUCUUAAGAUUGUAUUAAACGGGGAAAAAGAGCACAAAUCUAGUAACGGUUGUUGAAAUAAUAGUAUUAACGUGACAAAAUGAUGCCAUCAUCUUAUUACUCAAAUUAUUGUGUAUUAAAGGACAAUAUAGUAAACUUUGAUCACAAUUAAACUAUAUAUCAAUAAAAAUAUCUGGAAACACUAACGAUGUUAAUCCGAAAAUUGAAUUUAAUAAAAAGUAAAAAUACGGGUUAACGUGAUAUUAAAAAACAUUUGCACGUACAAUCUCUCAGAGUCACUUUGUUCAUCAACAUCAUCAAGACAAAAUAAAGUUCGAAUUUUUUUUUUCCAUAAUAAAGUAUAUUACAUUAGCUUUGAUUUAAGAUAUAAAAGUGUCAGUAUUUCCGGAACACUUUCAAAAGUUAAGUUGAAAAAGUUGUCAUUUUGAAUCCUCCUGUGGGCUGGUAAAGGGUUAAAUUUAUAAAAAAAAAUAUAACAAAUGAUAGGUAAAGACAUCAAUCAUCUAUAAAAUAUUUUAAAUGUUAUUAUAUUUUUAUUAUUAAUAUUAUAAUUUAUAUUAUUGAAACAGUAAUAGAAUUAACUAGAAAAAAAUAUAAGAACACAGGUAAAUCUUUUUCCGACGGCAAGACUGUGACGACAAAUUCUUAAUUGGAACUGCUAAAAAAAUUGAUCCAAACCCAAUAGAUGUAGAGAUAGUAAAUAUAUAUCCAGGAGAUAGUAAAAACUGGAUCGAGCGAUUUUCAGGAGAUAUUGAAUUUGAUGAUAUAUGUGUAGAAAAUGAAAUGACUGGUACAGGUAUUUCACACACGCAGCAGACUAAACAAUCGAUCACAAAAAGUGAUAUGCGAGGAAAUCGCGUGCAAGAGUUAUAGAAUCAGUUUUUUCGGGUAAUAUAGUUGCACAUAGAAUUGAAAACAUAGAUCCGUUUAUUAUCCCUAAAUUCAUUAAACAAUAUGCGUUGGACAUUGCAAAUGUGUUGAAAAAAUCAAUUCAAAAAACUAUUGCGAACUUGGUUUUGAGGAUGAUGAUGAGGGUAUUGAAGUAGUGGCAAAAACGAAUAAAAAAUAUAUGUCAAUUAAAAAAACCAUUUUCUCUUGAAAAAUUAGCCGAAACUUUGACACCUGAUCAAUUUAUCAUAACAAGGAGAAUGUACAAAAUUGAUGAUGUGUCAUAAGUAUUAGAAAUUUCCAAAUCUAUUAUAUACGAUUUUCACUACAACUAUAUGAAAAAAAUGUAUGGAAAUAAGUGUAAGUUGUUAUACACGGGUACCGAUUCUAUUUUACGAAAUACAAACGGUAGAUGUUUAUGAUGAUGUUAAAAAAACAUUUAAAAAUUCGACACGUUAAACUAUGAUCCUAACAACGUAUAUGGUAUGUCGCUUGUCAACAAAAAGGUCAUGGUCUUAUAAAAGAAGAAAUGGGUGGAAAAAUUUUAAAAAUAUAUUGGGAUUUGCAAUAAAACGUAUAUGAUGCGCCGUGAUAAAAAUGUGGAAAAAAAAAUAAGAGAUUAAAAAAAAAGAGUACUGAAAGAGGCAAUAACUAUGAUGACUAUGAUAACUAUGAUAACAAUAAUGACUAUUAAAAUUGUAUAUUUUUUCAUGAUCUAUAAUUUUUACGAAGAAUGUAUGUUUUCCGUUCAUACAAACAUUUUAUAUACGCUGAAAAAGUAAAUAAAAUAGUGAUAGAAUUUAAAGAUGACAAGCAGUAUCAAAUACCCAAUACCUAUGAUACGUAUAUUUAAUUUUACGUAUCUCUAUGUAUUUUUGAAAAUGAUUAAUUUGUGUACACAAUGCUAUCAAAAUGUAUAAAUUGUGCGAGUUAUAAUGUACACGCGCAGUUGAUGAGUGAAAACAAUGAAUUUCAUAGAAAUUUAAUUUACGCAAUGAUGAAACAUUAGUAAGCGAUUAUAUCAAGGAGAAUACGUACUGUUAUUAUAAUCAUAAUACUGUGAAAUAAUGUCGUUUAUUUAAUUCGAUAAUUUCUAAAACAUAGUUUAUGUCGGAUGGGAAAGAAUGUUUUUACUUCUCAAUCAAUUUAGAGAAUAAACGACAUUAUUUUAUAUUUUAAUCGUAAAUAAUAAAUGUUAG